AAAUUUAUGCAUUAAUUUACAACACAAGGAGGACAGGAAUAGUUAGUAAACAGCAAUCUUAACUACCAGACGACAUAUUUACAAAGUCCUACAAUUUAAAAACUAAAAGAUCUCACACUCCUAAUUCUUUCUUUUCAAGGUGAGAAAUCAAACCUCCAGAGGGAAACUGGCUGGGUGGGAAUGAUACUGAUACCCGGCGCUAAACUCAAGUCGCAGCAUCAAGCAUCUCUCAUUUCCCCAAAUUAUAAACUUCUCACCCAUCCAAACAAUGAUAUGGCCAUUUAAAGGACUAAUAGUUCUCUAACCACCAACCAUGCCCUGUCCCCUCCACUUUCUCUCCAACAUCCUUCUGCCCCUUCUCUUCCUACCAGGAGACAUGCAGGUAACAGAAGCACGAUUAGAAUGAAACUCUUAUCAGCUCCCACAAUCAAGGACGCAGCCUGACAACUGCUCACGUUCAUUACUGAUGGCAACGUUGCGGUUCGCACUUAAUCGCCGGGCCAUUACACCCGGAAAUGAAAUCUCAAGCGCAACGCACUUCGGACCCCCUUAUCAUUUCCCUAAAUUGCGCCCGACUGCGUGUGCGGGGGGCACGACCCCGAGCGCACAGCGGACCCCCGGGCAGGAUUACCCCACCUCCCGCCUCGGGCCUGCAGGUCACUCGCGCUUCUUGGCCACGAGGCGGGCCCGCGAUCCUCCCCGGGCCGCCGCAGCGGGCGCUCGGCGGGACGCGAGGGCGGCACCGGGGCCAGCCGCCUCCGGGGACCGCGUCCGGACGCGAGGGUCGGUCUCUAGAAGGAGCCCGGGCGGCCCCACGCGUCCCCAGCUAAAUCGCUGUCCUCGUCCAGGAUGGUCUUCCAUGGAUAAAUCAGCCGCUGUGUGACUUCCGGUGGGUGCUGUGCCGCCAUCUUGGCCCACCUGACUUCAGCACAUAAUGUGGGGGAGAGCAGCUUUCAGCAUCUCCAGUUAUAAAAUGUACCAAAUAUUGACAUAAUUACACAGAAAUAAAUAUAGGGUGCUCAAUGAAAAGCUAAGUCCUGGAGAAACUUACAAGGCAAGUGAAAAUAAUCUGACCCUUCAAGUCUUUGCCCUCCUCCAUACACAGACACAGACUGGCAAUUCACAAGUAAAUGCAAGGUUUUCAACAUCCAGCAGUUGGAGUAAUGAAAAAAAAAGCCAGAAGUAAAACACUAUACAGUGCCUUUCCUUGUCCUUUUUUAAACUCAAAAGAGGCCCAAGCAACAACAUUCUCCUUCUGAGUUGAAACCAACAGAGGCCGAGGCUGCCGCGGGACAGUGCUCCUUUCAUGAACUGAGUGAAGACUGGGCUUAUUCAUAGAAGUCGCUGGACAGGUAGACCACACCCUCUCUGGGCUGCUGCUUGUGAACCCGUGGCUAGGCUGGGCCUGGGUGGGAUCACUGACCUCCAGAGGGCAAUAUGGGGUCUGCUUCUGAAGCGGCCUUCCUCUGUGGGAGCACGCUGAGGAGGAAGCUUCAAUGUCAAGUAUGAUCUGUCGCUCUGGAGAGUCAGGCUGUCAGCUCGCCUUUCCUGAGCUGCUGCCGCGUGCCGGGCCUGGGAACAAUACAGGGCAGUCAUGUGGGGAGACAGACACGUACACCCGGAAUCACAAGACGGGCUUUUCAUGCCGCUCGCUCACGUGACGAACACCCACCUCCCCGCGUUUGUGGCAGUUCUACAAUUCCAGUAGAGGAGAGUUUUAGGGGAGCCCAUCUGGUUGGAAGGCGUAGCCAUGGAACUGGAUGGAGCAGUUUCUUCUUAGAUCGUACACUGCACGCUCUGACAGAUGAGGCGUGCCCUAACCAGUCUUGAAGGGGCAGGAAAGCUUCCUGGAGACAGAGGCAUGUAAACUGAGGCCUGGUGAAGGAGCAGCAGUAGCAGCCAGUUGGGUGCCCCGGAGAGACAAAGUCACACACAACUCUUGAUGGUGCACCUUUAGCCAUGACCAGAGGGCCGAAGGCUGUGUGUGAUGAUGAAUGAAGAUCCUUGGUUCUCAACCUUGGCUGCACCUAGGAGUCACUAGUCAAUACUGAUGUCUGCUCCCACAUCCAGAGGUUCUGAUUUAAUUGGCGUGAGAAGUGGCCUGAACGUUGAGAUUCGUGAAAGCUCCCAAGUGAUGCCAGUGCCCAGGACCGUCCCUUCCAUGACUAUCUGCUGGAUGCCUCCUCCUCCCAGUUUUUC
ensembl:lncRNA